rnacentral:lncRNA from 1 species
AUGUCAGAUCUAUUCUUUCCUUACUUGCCACUGUAAUGUUUUCAUGAUUUUAUAUCUUCUGUUCCACAAGGUGACUGGAAGGUAAAUAUCAGCUUACUAUAAUGUCUGAGUAAUCACAUAGACACUCUUCUUUGAUUUUAGUAGAAGGAACUUCUCUGAUUCAUUAUAGGCUGCUUCACCAUCUUACCACCCUAGACUACCUCUCAAGACAUAACCCAGAAUAUCCCAUUGCACAUCAACCACUGCCCUAUAAAAUAAGUGUGUUAUUUAACUGGAGAGACUCAUGUGUAGGUUUAGAAUUUCCAAAACCUACUUUAGUUAGGAUUCUUAAAUGUUUAAACUUCCCUUCUAGCCCACAGACCAAAGGCAAGGGAGAAAGGUGUUUAUCAGGACAAAGUGGGUGUAGACCUGUUUAGAAGUAGUUCUUUGGGACAAUUCCAGACACGAAUCUGUAGCAGCAGUCCAGUCUAAUUGGCAAACACCAAACACAAAUGAGUAGCAGAAGCUCAAUCCAGAAGAAACUGUGAGGCUCUGCUGAACUGGCACAAUUCCAUGGAAGCUGCAAGAAGUAGCCAGAAUACCAUGGGAAGUUCCUGGGCAUGUUUCUUUCUAUGAAGUUACAAGUAAUGAUCAGCGAAGACCAGCAAUGUGCGGCAAGGCAUACCAAUGCAAACACAUCAUUCACUGUCAGUUGGUUCUGCUUAUCCUCUUUCGAAAAUCACACAUUUUCUCAUGUGUGCCUCAGCAAAACAUCCUCUCCUGUAUCCGCUUCAGCAAAACAUCCCCACAGAAGACAGGUUCCAGAAAAACAUCAAAUAACACAACUGAGUCUCCAAAGAAACCAGAAAUUUCCACUUUGGUCAUGUACCAUCUUUACUAAUAGGAUGGUAAGGAUUUUAGUCUCAGCUAUAUAGUUAACGUUGUAGUAUUUAAAUAUGAUAUUUUUAUUAAUCCUGGAAAGCUGACCCAAAAUAACCUUUUUCUGAUUUUUACGAUAUUAAUAUGUAUGUUCAACACUAGGAUCUAUCAUCAUAUCCUUACUAGUACUCAGCAUCUUCAUUCCUUAGAGCCCUAUCAUUAGCAACCUAUGAACAUAGACACCAUGGUGGCUAGUUUUCUCUUGUGGACAUAAUCUGAGUUGCUUGUGCUGAGAUGUAAAAUUAGUUCCAUUUCAUAGAUUGUUGCAGUUUAGAAGACACAUUGUCAGUCUCCUUAUUCAUAAUCUCCCGCCUUUUGUCUAAGAUUCCUCAUGGAGCAUUAUCAGGGUGGUGAUUUUCUGCAUUUAAUCUAUAGGGGAGCAUAUUUGAGUACUGAUUGUGAUGACUCAAUGAGCAUAGUCUAUUUUGAUUACCAUUUGGAAGGUUAAAAAGCUAAGUUAUCAUCCAUAUAUAAUUUCAUUGUAUCUUUGAAAACUAUCAGUGUCAGAGGGAAUUGAAAUGACCAUGGAAGCCAGGAAAUGGGUACCUUAAGAACCUGGGUUUGAAUUUCAGCAUUGUCACUUAGAAGCCAUGAGAGAACUGUGUUCCCUUGCAUAAUUAAUGAUAAUGAUAAUAAUAAUAACAAUAAUAAUAACUUCCUCAUGGGCAUGUGUGUGCAUGUGCAUGUGUGAUAUACUUAGUGAUAAACCAAAAGUGGGAAUCAUAGUGUCUGACCCAUAAUAAUCAGUAAGUUGCAAGUGUUAUUAUUACUUCUGAUAAUAGUAGAAAAUGAUACUUAAAUAAUUUGAGACAAAAAGUAUACGUAAAUAUUCAAUUAUAUAAAAUAGUCUUGCAGUAAUAUCAAGAAAGGCAAAUAACCUUUCCUCAAUAAAAAAUACAAUGUAUAAGAUUCAUAUAAUGAGGGAUAAAGAGAUUAUUCAGCAGGUAGAAGACAAGCUGCUCUUCCCAAGGAUCUGAACUCAGUUUCCAGCACCCUCAUGGUGGCUCACAACUUUCUCUAACAUCAAUCACAGGGUCUAACAUCCUCUUCAACAUUUGUGUACAUUAAGCAUACAGAUGGUGCACAGGCAUAGAUGUAUGCCAAAUACUCAUACACAUAAAAUUAAAAUAAUAAAAAUGAAUAAACCAAUGAAAGUCCUAUUACACUAAUAAAUGCACACUGAUACAGUUUUAUCUUCUCUUUUUUUAUUUAGUUGUCUACAGCUUCAUCUAAAUAUACCCAUAUGCUAUGAAAAGAAUGAGGUCAGGUGAGAUAGAGAUGAGAAAAGGCCAAGGAAAGAUGGCAAAUGCCCUAUGUCCUUGUUGAUACAAUUAUGAUAUGCUGUGGUAACUU